UACGGAGGAUCCAAGCGUUAUCCGGAUUUAUUGGGUUUAAAGGGUGCGUAGGCGGCUUAUUAAGUCAGGGGUGAAAGACGGUGGCUCAACCAUCGCAGUGCCUUUGAUACUGAUGAGCUUGAAUGAACUAGAGGUAGGCGGAAUGUGACAAGUAGCGGUGAAAUGCAUAGAUAUGUCACAGAACACCGAUUGCGAAGGCAGCUUACUACACAAAUAUUGACGCUGAGGCACGAAAGCGUGGGGAUCAAACAGG
rnacentral:rRNA from 1 species